GACAGUCUCGCCGAGUGGUCUAAGGCGCUGGCUUCAGGCGCCAGUCCGUAAGGCCGUAAGGGCGUGGGUUCGAACCCCACAGCUGUCA
rnacentral:tRNA from 1 species